rnacentral:rRNA from 1 species
AUGCAAGAUCGACACGUAAUUGCUUACGCUUCACGGCAAUUGCACCCACAUGAGGAGAAUUAUCCUACUCAUGAUCUAGAGCUUGCAGCCGUAGUCUAUGCACUUAAGACCUGGCGACAUUACCUCCUCGGUAAUCGUUGCGAAAUAUUCACUGAUCACCAAAGUCUGAAGUAUAUUUUCACCCAACCGGAUUUGAAUCUCAGGCAGAGACGUUGGGUUGAAUUGAUCACAGACUUCGACCUAGGAAUAACCUACACCCCAGGGAAAGCCAACGUCAUGGCUGAUGCGCUAAGUCGUAAAUCUUAUUGUAACAACCUGAUGUUACAACAAAGUCAACCGCUUCUCCAUGAGGAAUUUCGGAAGCUUAACCUUCACAUUGUACCUCAAGGUUUUCUUUCCACCUUGGUGGCAAAACCUACCCUUACGGAUCAAAUUAUUAAAGCACAAAAGGUAGAUCCGGGAAUCUCCCGCAUCAAGAGGAACAUUCAGAAAGGAAUUGCGAAUUGUUUCUCCAUUAAUGAUCAAGGGGUAGUAUACUUCGGGGAUCGACUAGUGGUUCCCAAAGUGCGCAACCUAAGGCGAUUAAUCCUUAAGGAAGCUCAUGAAUCUCCUCUCACCAUUCAUCCCGGUAGUACUAAAAUGUAUCAGGACCUACGCCAGAGGUUCUGGUGGACUAGGAUGAAGAGAGAAAUCGCUCAGUAUAUUGCAAAUUGCGACGUCUGUCGUCGUGUAAAAGCAGAGCAUCAACGGCCUGCUGGCACCCUUCAACCCUUAGCUAUUCCUGAAUGGAAAUGGGAUAAAAUUGGUAUGGAUUUCAUUACCGGGUUUCCCAGGACCAAGAGAGGGAAUAAUGCUAUUUUCGUCAUGGUCGAUCGUCUUUCCAAAGUAGCUCAUUUCUUACCUGUUCGUGAGAGUAUAACCGCUAGUCAGCUGGCAGAUUUGUACAUCUCCCGAAUAGUGUCUCUCCAUGGUGUUCCUUUGGAAAUUAACUCGGAUCGAGGAAGUCUUUUCACCUCUCGAUUUUGGGAAAGCUUCCAAAAUGCUAUGGGAACCCGUCUCUCCUUCAGCACCGCUUUCCACCCUCAGUCAAGUGGUCAAGUGGAACGCGUCAACCAAAUUCUAGAAGACAUGCUUCGAGCCUCUGUUAUCUCUUUCGGAAUGGACUGGGAGAAGUGCCUUCCAUUUGCCGAAUUCGCUUACAACAACAGCUAUCAAUCUAGCUUGGGUAAAGCCCCUUUUGAAGUUCUCUAUGGACGACGAUGUCGAACACCCCUUAACUGGUCAGAGACCGGGGAAAGACAAUUCUUUGGCCCGGAUAUGAUUCAGGAAGCAGAAGAACAAGUUCGUAUCGUUCGUGAAAAGUUGAAAACAGCCCAAUCUCGUCAAAAGAGUCAAUAUGACCGAAAACAUAAGGCUAUGACUUUCGAGGUUGACGAGAAGGCUUAUCUUCGGGUCACCCCUCUGAAGGGAACCCAUCGUUUCGGUAUCAAAGGCAAAUUGGCUCCUCGUUACAUUGGACCUUUUCGCAUUCUCGCCAAAUGA